UGCUGUGCUCAUUUGAACAGGAAGGUGGCGCUCUAGAAAGAGGCCCAAAAUCCCAACUUGGAAUUCCGAGUUGGAUGACCGUUAAAUUAUUUUCCAAAUCGGAGCCAAUGUUAUCCGAGUUCCCAAUUGUCUUGAAUUCACUGAAGCCUUCGAUUUCUGAGUUUCCAGUUGUUUUGAACAAGGCAGAAGUCAUGCUGGAUUGACAGCAUGGCCAAUGUAUUCAAACUUUUCUAGCCCAUGGUAUUACGCCCUUUUUCGUGAUAUCCAAUUGGUAGUUACAAUCUUGUCUCAUCGCUGCAAUUCUCCUACAAGGGUUGAAAAGGAUUUUCCAGUAGAUUGCUGACUUGAUGACGGCUUGUCUAGCUUGCUAGCUAAGAUUUUUAAAGUAUGAUAACAUGAUCAGGCCAAUCAAAGCUAAGGUAGAUGGAUAUAACGUGAUUUGAUGUCAUUUUAUCUGUGGCCAAUGACCUUGAGCUGCCUUGGAUGCAUGAGUGACAGAACACUGAGCCAAUCACGGUGCAACUAGAGAACAUUACUAACCCCAUCACAUUAUGAUGGCUGUUGUCGGUCUCAGCCAUGUCACAUCACCGGUGAGCAGACGAGUAUCUGACAUGGCCUUACAGUAAAAUACUCCUAUCCAAGAGACUGCAUGCUUGCUUAGCCUAUAUCCCUUUCUCUGGCAGAUAAAACAGCCCCCGCAAUCUCAAAGAGAAAAGCCCCACUGGUUAGCAGACACCCCCACAGGGCGGUGGGGUCCACGAUCUCUGGUGGCCCAUGCGCCUGUCAUUGUCUAUUUUUGUUGUUGUUGAAUAAGUCAUUUUGACAGCAAACCUCCAAGUCAUUCAUAACCCUUUUUAAUUUCCGUAAGUACUAUGAAACAAAGUUUUUGUUUCUUGUGAUUCAGGAAUGUGACUGAAAAAGAGAGAAGAUACUGAUGGAAAGUAUAAGGGAAUAUCAGUGAAGAAAUGCCGUGGUCAAGGCUACGACGGCACCAGUGCAAUGAGUGGAGCUUUACUCAGGUGUUCAAAAGCCAUUUCAGAACGAGAGCCUCAUGCUUCAUAUAGUUCUUUAUGAGUUUAAGUUUAGAAAACAAUCUCUCUGCAGAAGCGAUACUUACAGAGGUAAAAGCAUCUUAAUUACCGUAGCAACGUCAAGGGAACUAGUCAGAAGGGAGGAGGGCUUCAAAUACAGCAGUUCUGCAACAUCUUUAAUUGAGCUUCUUAUUGUCUUUUAUGUUACGGAAAGAGAUGAACUGCACAGGAAGCUCUGGGGAAAGGUCGUCUAGAUACUGGACAGACAAUAAAAUUGGCAGACGCAAACAGAUUAGCAUCUUUAGCAGACAACAGUUCUUGAGGGCUUGAAAAAAUAAAGCUGUUUGCAAUUUCGUUCAAUCUGGUGAACAGGCGUUUGCGUUGUGUGGUUGCAAUAUCAACAGUCCCUUAUCUUUGGUAUAUCUUGGCAUGAAUCAAUCAAGACUUCAUUUAAAUAGUGUGCAGCGCAAUAGACCUAAUUCACAAUGUCUCAGGAAAGUCUGGGCUGUCAAUACUCAGUAUAGAAAACAGUCGAGGUGUAACCUGGACCUACAGGCCGUGGUGAAAACAUUUGCACACAAAAAAGGAGGACUUCAGCACCCAGGGGAGUCUCAAGUUGGAUUUAAUUGAAUUUACCUCAAUAUUGCAGCCCAUUUGUGUAGGCUGUUAGCCAGAAAAAACCCGCUGAGUUCAACAAUAAAUUACUGAAUUUAGUGUUUGAAUUUAUCCUCAAGGCCUUUUCCCUCAUUGUUAGGCUAUUUUUGUUUAUAAAUAGAAGCUAAAUACUGUAUAUAGCUAUAGACAGUAUACUGCAUAAUGAAACAAUCCCUAGUGUUUUGAGGGUGGACUGGCUAUAUUAUUUGGUUUUGCGCACAACUUUCUAUCCAAGCUGGGAGAGAGCGCAAAGACGAGUCGUGAUUACAAGCAUUUCGCUACACUCGCAUUAACAUCUGCUAACCAUGUGUAUGUGACAAAUAAAAUUUGAUUUGAUUUGAUUUGAUGUAGGUUCAGAUAACCUAUAUAGAGUAGUUGUAGGCCUGUAUUCAACAACAACAAAUGCAGAUUAGUAUGCUGUUGUAUUGGGAAAAAGUACUUGACAAUCUGCAAUGUUGAAUUUCCAACUGUAAUUACUGAACAAGUAAUUAAAUUAUUACCGCCAGCCAGCAGUCAAAAAAUAGCAGCAUUGCUACACCGUGUAUAGCUUCAUGAAAUGUGAGAAAAUGAUGACCAAAUAGGCCUACCAAUAAACAAGCCUUUCAUCAAUUCGAUAGACAUGCAGCUGUAUGUGUUGCAAUUUCAUCGAAUUUCUAUACUUGUAUUAAAUUGUGUUUUUAGGAAGGGGAUGGGAAAACACCUUGUCAUUCUCUGCAAACGUCAAAGCAGGGACUCGCUCCUGUAGGCUCGUACAACAUCCUUAAGAGUACCACCCUACAUCACACAGGAAGCGGCUCGGGUCCUAAUCCAGGCCCUUGUCAUCUCCUGUCUGGACUACUGGGUAAGGGAGGGAGAGAGUCGACGGCGAGAGGAGGGUAAGGGAGGGGGACGAUGACGAGAGGAGGGGACAGCAGGGUAAGGGGGGCGACUAGAGGAGAAAAUAUGGCCGUAUUUAACUUUUUGUUUUUUGAACAUGAUUUCUAGCUGAGAUAAGUUCCUUAUGCUUCCAGAACUGUACCACUUACAAUGCCUGUUAAUGUUCAGACCGAGCGUUGCUGCUCUUAAUAAAGCUCCCCCCAACAGAAGAUGCCUUCGUCCAAUGGCUCUUAUGUGUAAUGGCAUGGCUCUUAUGUGUAAUGGCUCUGGCUCUUAUGUGUAAUGGCUCUGGCUCUUUUGUGUAAUGGCUCUGGCUCUUAUGUGUAAUGGCUCUGGCUCUUAUGUGUAAUGGCAUGGCUCUUAUGUGUAAUGGCUCUGGCUCUUAUGUGUAAUGGCUCUGGCUCUUAUGUGUAAUGGCUCUGGCUCUUAUGUGUAAUGGCUCUGGCUCUUAUGUGUAAUGGCAUGGCUCUUAUGUGUAAUGGCAUGGCUCUUAUGUGUAAUGGCUCUGGCUCUUAUGCGUAAUGGAAUUGCAUGGCUUUUAUGUGUAAUGGCAUGGUUUUUAUGUGAAAUGGAAUUGCAUGGCUCUUAUGUGUAAUGGAACUGAGAGUCAUUAUCAAGGGCUAGAUCUGCACCAUCACAUGCUCUGGGGAGCUGUCAAGUGUCCAGGUGCUGAAACACACGCAGGAUUGUCUGUUUUUUCUCUCGCUAUUCACACAUCGAUUUCAUGAUCUUUAUCUGGGCUGUGAGCAACAUUUGAGGCGUAUAGCAGACCACACGAAUAUUGAAAACACUCAAGCGCUGUAGUGUUAGUGACAUACUGAGCAUGACUGCUUUUUUUCCAGGUUAAAUUUUGAGGAUUGUGAAAUGAUCUCAAAGUCAAGAAAGGCAGUCAGCAUCCAAGAGAUUGCUGCUCUGUCCAGAUCCUCCUUAAAUGGUAAGGGUCAGAAAGACGCACACGGACCAUCUCUCUAACCAAGGCCUCCUACUUUUCUUUCUCCAGGCAUUUCCCAGGCGAUGAAGGACCAUGUGACCAAGCCAACAUCCCUGCAGGGUCAUCCACCUCAAGUGGAAGGGUUGGCCCAAACCCACCGACCCCCUCCGCACACUCUGCAACUCUCUACAGGAAGCUCGCUUCGCCGCAGGAGUGGCAGAGCAGUUUGCUAUCGCUGAGGCAAAGCUGAAAACCUGGACCUCUGUGGCUGAUGACCAGAAAGACGAUGACUAGGAGUUCCUCCAGAACAAUAGAAACACACUCUCUACCCACAGCUCAGGUGUUCUGACACUUUGAUUCUCCCUCAGACUUCAACGUCCAAGCACGAGCCCCGAGUGCCAUUCCAGGCCAAGACAGACAGCUUUGAAGUUCUAGCAGAAACAGCCUGCACUGUGAUAGGCCCACAUCUCAGAACAACCCGCCUACUCCAGGGAGUGACUGGGCUAGCCCAUUCCCUAGUGGAUGGUGAGGAUCAGCCUGCACUGUGAUAGGCCCACAUCUCAGAACAACCCGCCUACUCGAGGGGGUGACCGGGCUAGCCCAUUCCCUAGUGGAUGGUGAGGAUCAGCCUGCAGUGUGAUAGGCCCACUUCUCAGAACAACCCGCCUACUCCAGGGGGUGACCGGGCUAGCCCAUUCCCUAGUGGAUGGUGAGGAUCAGCCUGCAGUGUGAUAGGCCCACAUCUCAGAACAACCCGCCUCCCGCCUACUCCAGGGGGUGACCGGGCUAGCCCAUUCCCUAGUGGAUGGUGAGGAUCAGCCUGCACUGCUGCAAGUCUGUAUCGUCUACCAGUCUGACUGGAGGCCGGAGGUUUGACUCCUGCUAUUCAACCUCUCACUCUGAGUCUCUUGGAGAGGAUAGGAGUGUGUUUCAGGAGGGUAAAGAGUGGCUCUCCGACAGAGGCUCGUCAGGCGUGGCUUCGUUCCAUUAAGAAGAUAAGGUGGAAAGCAUUUAAAUGUGAUGUUUCAUCUUGUAGGUGUACACCUCUAUGGAUAGUCUGUCAACUCUUAGAAACACUUCCUUCAGAAGUUAUUCACACCCCUUGACUUAUUCUAGAUUGUGUUGUUACAGCCUGAAUUUAAAAUUGAUUAAAUAGAGAUUUUGUGUCACUGGCCUACACACAUUACCCCAUAAUGU